rnacentral:rRNA from 1 species
AUGGGAAAGAGGAAGAGGGAAAGGGAAGUGCGUCUUCACGUGAAGACAUCCGAGGGUUCCUCCUCGUCGUCGUCACUCGGCGAAGGUGGCCGCCCCCCUCCUUCUUUGAGGGGAGGAGGAGGAGGAGGAGGAGGAGGCGGGAGCAGCAGCGUCGUCCCAAAUCCAACAUCAACAUCACCCUUGUCGGCGUCGGGCGCACCUUCGACGCCAUCAUCUUCCUCCACAGCUUCUUCAUUGAAGAUCGGGACGAUGGAAUUCAAUCUUCCACCCGGAUCCCCGCCAACAUCCACAGCGUCUCCAAAGGCAGUUACCUCACCCGUUGCCCUCCCUCAUCCUCAGGCUCCAGCGAUUCUGUCUCCGACUCCUCCGCCCGGAUCCACACCAACAUCCACAGCCUCUCAGGCAGCCACCUCACCGGUCGAACCCCCACAUGCUGAUGUUUCCCCAUUUUUCGAGCCCAUUCCUGAAUCCUAUGCACAGGCACUCCAGCAGUCUGAAGACAGCAACACGACCAUGACCUACCUCAAGCAUCUACGAAGGUGCUGUGGUGAAGAUGCACGCCGCCUUUGGGCAUCUGGUAGCUGUCACUUAAAGAUGAGUUUUGACAGGUUAAAAGUACAUUUGGAGUCUGCCCUCAGAACAUUCUUAUUGGAAUCUUUCAAAAGUCAGAGUCCUGAGACUAUAAAGAAGAGGUUUGCAAGUGAGGAUAAAAUGAAACAAUUCAUUCAAGUCCAAACAAAACUGACAGUUAUGCAGAUGCCUUCAAGCAUAUGUUCAUUGCGUCAGCACUUCAUCAACAAUCCUGCAGGCAGAAUUGCUCAUCUGUUCCAGAACCAGGCCUAUAGCAAAGACGUCCCAACAACAGUAAAAGAGUCAAGGAUUCUGCUUCACAAGUUAACACAACAUACCAUAGCAGAACACAAAAGAGGUUACUGUUGGGAUGGUCAAUUAAGCCUUGAUGACUGGGAAGUCAUAGACGGAACUCACAUUUAUCCAAUUGCCAAAUCUGUCCGUUGCACCAGUAGAGCAAUGUCGAACAAGGACCUUACUCAAAUAGCUGACACAAUAGUUCCAAACUUCAUGAUCAAUGGAGUGAUUCCUGUGUUUAUGGAACACUUCACAAAUGCGUUGAAGUCUCAUGGCACACUUGCUGAAGAGGAUUUCCAAUCUUGGUACUAUGCAUACCUCCUGCUACACCCCUUUGUUAUGUCAUCGAUAGGAAGGGCAAAUCUCCUUAGGAAUCUGUAUUGGCUUCUGGUGGACUUGAAUUUUGAGGAAAACCCGUUCUUUGAUACUGUUUUCAAAGUAGCUCCUUCUUCAAACUGGCGAGAUUUUAUCAAGCAGACCCCUAUGAAUUACAUUCUCUGGAAGGUUUUCUGGUACAAGCUGAUACCAAAUUUCAACACCCUUCCUUAUUUCAACUUGUUGGGAAGCAUUAUAAAGUACCAUUGCCAUCUUGUUCAUCAUGGUCCUGACCAUGCCAGGGAUGGCAAGUUGACAACAAUGUCGAGCACAGAUGACAACGAGUUACUUGCUGCAGCGCAUGACCAGGAUUGCCUCGCAGAGUGCAUCAAGAACCUUCUGCAACAGAAGAAAGUGACCAGCGACGUCAGUGUUGUGCUUGACGCUUACGCUGUGACAUGGGAGCUGUGA